rnacentral:rRNA from 1 species
UACGUAGGGGGCAAGCGUUGUCCGGAAUCAUUGGGCGUAAAGAGCGUGUAGGCGGCCCGGUAAGUCCGCUGUGAAAGUCCAGGGCUCAACCCUGGGAUGCCGGUGGAUACUGUCGGGCUCGAGUCCGGAAGAGGCGAGUGGAAUUCCUGGUGUAGCAGUGAAAUGCGCAGAUAUCAGGAGGAACACCAAUGGCGAAGGCAGCUCGCUGGGACGUGACUGACGCUGAGGCACGAAAGCCAGGGGAGCAAACGGG